GACGAACGCUGGCGGCGUGCUUAACACAUGCAAGUCGAACGGAAAGGCCCUUCUUGCCGGGUACUCGAGUGGCGAACGGGUGAGUAACACGUGGGUGAUCUGCCCUGCACUUCGGGAUAAGCCUGGGAAACUGGGUCUAAUACCGGAUAGGAGCCAUUUUUAGUGUGAUGGUUGGAAAGUUUUUUCGGUGUAGGAUGAGCUCGCGGCCUAUCAGCUUGUUGGUGGGGUAAUGGCCUACCAAGGCGGCGACGGGUAGCCGGCCUGAGAGGGUGGACGGCCACAUUGGGACUGAGAUACGGCCCAGACUCCUACGGGAGGCAGCAGUGGGGAAUAUUGCACAAUGGGCGCAAGCCUGAUGCAGCGACGCCGCGUGGGGGAUGACGGCCUUCGGGUUGUAAACUCCUUUCGCUAGGGACGAAGCUUUUGUGACGGUACCUAGAUAAGAAGCACCGGCUAACUACGUG
rnacentral:rRNA from 1 species